UAUAUACGAAAAAGAAGGCGAAAAUAAGGAGGGAUAUAAUGCGCAAACAACAAUUAAACGGCGAUAUGGAAAUUGUGGUAAACCCGGAUAUAAUGCACAAAUAUAUUAAAAAGAUGAAAAAAUGUCUGCUAUAUAUAGUUCCGAUUGCAUUGUAGUUAAUUAAACAACGUUGGCGUUAUAAUUGAAAUUGGGAAUAAGACCGACCGGAAAAAUGUCCGGGGUACUGUCCUGUCCGGGGUACUAUAUAUCCACGUUAUGGGAAAAAGGUUAAUAAUAAUUUAACAGGCGAAUUAACACAGUUCGCCAUAUAAAUUGCCUGUCUCCUCCAAUAAAUUUGUAAUUUUGUUUACAUUAGAUUCGAAUAAGGAAAUAAAAAAAGGCAAAAUGUUUAAUUGCGGAGGAAGUUAAAUUAUACGUACAAAUAAUAUUUUGUAAACGGUGCUAUUUCUUUUUUCGAUAAUAUGCGGUUAAAAUUAAUAUGGCCGACAAAAUUUUACAUAUUACGCGGCCAAUUAAUUAAUAUAUAUUAUUACGUUUGGCGAAAAAGGUCCGAGGAAUUUUUUAAUUAUUAAAUAUGGCCAUUUUUAACAGGGUUUUGGCGAAAGCUAUUUGCCAUUUGUCGGCUAUUUUUUUUUUCGAUAUAUGGGUUAUAAAAGUGCAUAGUUUAGUUUAAAAAUAUUUCAAAUAUUUAAAAAAAGCCCUAUUAUUAUUUAUAAAUUACCCUAAUUAAUAUUUCGCAAAUCGAAUAUAGUCGACCUUUAAAAAUUAAUAUAUUUUAUUUUUAAUUAUAUUAACAAUCCGGAUUUCAAACCCCAAUAUUUUAAAACGGGAGCCGGGUUUGGGAUUAAUAGGAGUAAAUGGGUAACUCCAUGCAAAUUUAAAUAACCCAAAUAUUAAUAUUAUUUACGCAAUACCAUAUUACAAAUUUAUCGCGAGGGUGUAAAUUUGUGAAAUAAUUUGUUAUUUGUUCGCCCUGGGUAUUAUUGGGGCUUUUACCCAUAUCCUGAACGGUAACGAUAAUAAAUAUCUACCAAAAUAAAUAUUAUAUUCUUUUUUUAAUAUGGGAAAUUUAAAUAAAAAAACAAAUGUUAAUAAAUAAUAAAUUAAAAAUUCCCGUUAUUUUACCACCAAUUAUAUUAUGGAAUUUACCCCGGAUUUGAAAAUUAUUAUAUAUAACGGAUUAACGCACCGUUAAACAAAUAACUGGCACGGUAUUAAAUUAAUUAGCGGAAACCUCCACCGUUAUACGCGUGCCAUACCGCCUCCCCGAUUAGGAUAUUAUAUACGGUAUAAAAUUUAAAUUCCGUCCCACGGAACCCAAUAUCGAAUUUAGCGAGGACGUUAAAAAAAGAUUAAAGGCCGCCGGCGACGUCGAAAAUUUUGGCCGCAAUUAAAUGUGGGAAACGGCCGUUUAUAUUGGUCAUUUUAACGGUGGGUUUGCUAAUUGGUUUUAUUAUAAACGUUUAUAGGAAUUAUAAUUUCCCAAAACCCGGAACAAUCCAAUAUUCGAAAAUAUACCGUUCGCAUUUGGCCAACCUGGCCUAAAACCGACCGUUUCGAUUCGCCAAUUUCGCCUAUAUUUGCACAAUCGCCCAACCCGUUCGUUCGGAUAUUAAUUAUAUCCGCCGUCCCAACAAAAUUAUUCGCGGCCAAAAAUGCACCCAAAUUUCUAAUAUAUUAAAUUCCUAAUUAUACGUAAUCCACGUUAUAAUAAAUUAAAUAUUAGGUAAAUUGCGCCCCCUCGAAAAUUAUUUAUAACCAAUAUUAAAUAAAAUUUUAAAAUUAUAAUGGAUUGCGCACACGUUCGUUGGUUCCCAUCCAACCAAAACGACAAAUAUUAAAUAUAUAUAUAACGAAUAAAUAAACCCUUUUAAUAUUGGAUCCUCCGUCACCUCGAUUUUAGUUCCUAUUUCCGUUCCACAGCCCGUCCAUCCACUGUACGUAAUAUAAUACCUGAGCUGUAACAAAAUCCGUUAUAAUAAUAAAAUUCCUUGCGCGUUAACGUUGGCGCCGUGUUUAAAAAGCAGUUCCACGAUAUUUUAAUUUCUUUUGUAAUAAACAGCCUGUAAGGUAUUACCGUAUUCGCCGCCUUACGCGUUAACGUUGGCGCCGUAUUUAAAAAACAGCUCCGCGAUACUUUAAUAUCCCUCGUAAUAAACAACCUCCAAGGUAUUACCGUAUUCGCCGCCUUGCGCGUUAACGUUGGCGCCGUAUUUAAAAAACAGUUCCACGAUAUUUUAAUUUUUUUUGUAACAAACAGCCUGCAAAAUAUUAUUAUUUUCGCCGCCUUGCGCGUUAACGUUAACGCCGUGUUUAAAAAACAGCUCCACGAUACCUUAAUAUCCCUCGGAACAAAUAGCCUGCAAGGUAUUACCGUAUGCGCCGCUUUGCGCGUUAACGUUGGCGCUAUAUAUAAAAAACAAUUCCACGAUAUUUUAAUAUCCCUCGGAACAAAUAAUUUGCAAGGUAUUACCGUAUUCGCCGCUUUGCGCGUUAACGUUGGCGCCGUAUUUAAAAAACAGCUCCGCGAUAUUUUAAUAUCCCUCGUAAUAAAUAAUUUGCAAAAUAUUGCCGUAUUUGCCGCCUUGCGCGUUAACGUUGGCGCCGUAUUUAAAAAACAGUUCCACGAUAUUUUAAUUUCUUUUGUAACAAAUAGCCUGCAAGGUAUUACCGUACUCGCUGCCUUGCGCGUUAACGUUGGCGUUAUUUAAAGCCAGCGGUAAUAAGUUUCAAAACCCAUAAAGGAUUAAUUUGUAAAUUAGUCCGGCGUUUUUCAAAUUAGGCCCAAAUUCCAAUUUAUUAUUAUAAAUCCGCAAAUCUUUCCACCGUUGCAAUUAUGCGUUUAACUUUUGCAUCCAUUUUUUAAUGGAUGGUUUUUCGGUAAUACCGCGGGAUUCGAAAAUAUAUAUUUGGUUAAUAGGCAUAACCAUUUCGGUAUAAAAGAAAAUAUGGCGCGCAGCGUAUUUAAGGAACGGAAUUUUGUUAAAUGUCCGGCGCCUGUCUGGCGCAAUUUCGGAUGCAAUAAAUCUUUGCUGGAUAUAUUAUUAACAGAAACGCCAAAAUCUGCUAUAGCUAGUUAUAAUUGGUUCAAGCCCCAAAUUCGGAUUAAAAAUUUGCAGGAUUUUUUUUCGAAAUAGAAAAUCUUUAACGGAUAAAUGGAUAAAUUAAACGGUCCCCUGUUCGUUUUUUCUAAUUUUAAUUAAAUUUUUAAAGGAAAUAGUAAUUCGUCGAUUUAUUAUUUCGCGGUUAGGGAAAGGGAUUUUAAUUGCCGCCGCGAAAAACUUUUCAGCCGUAAAUAUUUCCCUGCUAAAAAAUACCAAUUGGAGCAUUAAAAUUAUUAUAGCCUUUUUAAGGACAUUUUGGCCCAAAAUGGUGGAAAAUAAUUUUUCCAAACCAUUUGGGAUUUCCUCCAAAAUCUUUUUUAUAUUUUCGAUACGGCUUUCGUCGUAAAUUUUAUUUAGCAGGGACAUUAUUAUAACGACCCAAAGAAAAACGUUGCUGGUUUUUUCUACGAUUUCAGUUUUUAUUUUUUUAUUAUUACCCCGUAACCAUUUCCUGGUAUAUUUGGUAAUAUUUUUUCGAUAAUUUUUUUUUUGUUCCAUUGCCAAUUUUACAAAUUUAUUUAUUCCGAUAAUUGGGUAAUGGUGGCUCGAUAAAUAUAUUUGCAACUAUUUAUUUGCCCGGGAGGGUUCCAGGUUUAGUAAUUCGAAAAAAUGGACCAUAUUGCGAAUUUUAUUAUUGUCGCAUUCGUUUAAAAUAUCGAUAAACAGUAAAAUGGGACGCGGUGGUUAUUAUAUAAAAAAGCGUACAAAUUUUUAAAAUUCCGAUAAACGCUAUUCCCAUUAUAUAUUAUAAUUAUAUAUUUGUUUUUCGCGAAAUAUAUAAACGAACCGGUCGUAAAACGCGUUAUUAUUCCGCACCAAUUGGUAUAUUAUCGAUCGCAAUAGGCCCAAAAUUAUUUUUUUAAACCUAUCGCCUCGAACGUUGAAAAAAUGGGUUAUAAUAAUAUGGUGGCGAAAAAGGUUUUUUUGGAAGCGGCGAAAAAUAUGUUUUAUUAAAAUCGAUUUUCCUGCGUCCGGUUUUCUUUUAAUCCAAAAUACGCUAUUAUAUGCGGCGCGGCGUUUAAGGUCUCGCCAUUUCUGGAAUUCGGGCGAUUUAAACAACUAUUCGUAUAUUUUUGGAUAUGGAGGGGCGAUGUCGUUUUAACGAAUAUUAAUAUCGCGGAAUGCAAAGGAACGGAAAUAAACUACCAUUGGUUAAUAACCAAAGACCGGUAUAAAUUAGGGACCACGAAAAACAAUGGGGGGAAAAGAAAUUACCAUUUUUUUUUUGUUCCGGUGAAAGUCGUUGCAAAUUGCCUAUUAAAUUGUAAAAAUUUAAAUAUUAGGUUUAUAAUAUGCAAAAGGGGUUCCUUUUACCAAAUAUUUAAUUAAAAUUAAUAAUAGUGGUUUUUGAAAACUGGUUCCCGAUAAUUGCGUUGGUGGUUUCGGUUAACCCAAACGAUUAAUUUGGAUUCGUAUCGGCCAUUGUAAUCGAAAUUUGCGUCGCUUGCAAUUUCUUCCAUAUAAGCCAACCUGGUAUAAAUUCUAGACUUUUGUACCCAAGAAAAUAUACCAAAUUUUUCGUCGAAAAAAAACCAAAAAGGUAUCGAAUUUAAAUUAUAUGCCCACCAUUUGCAACACGUCGGUGGAGGGGGUAUAUAUUUGUACCUACCUGGGUUUAAAUAUUUUAGCAAUUUGGGUAUAUGCCAAAUUUAGGUCCAGCCCAUUUAUGCCAAUAGGUGUGGAUGGUGUGGUAUCCAAAACCACCAUAUUUGUUAAAAGUUCCUUUUUUUCCGUUAAUAUAUAUACGUGGCGUACCGUUGUAUAAAUUGUUAUUGCAUUAAUUUACAGGGAAAAACUGGUAAUAUAUCGCCCCCGACGUUUAAUUGCAACGUUAUUUUAAUUGCAACCGUUACUUUAUUUAUUGCUUUUUUAGGUGGAAUUGGUAAAAAAACAACCAAACCACCCAAAAAUGCAAAAAUCAGCCCCUUUUAUCCAUAUGGGUGGUUUUAUUACAAAUAUUUUUAACCUAUGGAAAUAAAGCAACGGGGUUGUUAAACGCCGCAAUUUUUUUCGGCGCAGUUUUAAUUUUUUUAAUAUUGUUUUUUUAUUCCCUGGGUAAAAAAUGGUGUAGGGUUUUGCGUAUUUGGUCGUUCGCACGUACGGGGUAUUACCGGUAGGUAAUUUUACCUUUUUUCCUUAAUUUUUUUGGCCGUUUACUGCUUUAAUAUUUAAAUUCGUUAUUCCAAUAUAUUAAUUAUUUGACCGUUUAGCCGUGGGUACGGCCUAUUAAUAUAAUUUUUUUUUUUUUUAAUGGAUACCCAAUAUUUCCAAUUUUGUUUAAAUUUUAAAAUAUUUGAAAAUAUUACAAUUUUAAAUAUAAAUAUUUUUGCAAUAUUUAUAAAAUAAUUAUUUUUCCAUUUUAUUUAAUUUAAAGUUUAAUAUAUUAUUAUUUCCCAAAAUACCGCCCCAAUUUAACCCCGAAAUUUAUACCGUGGUAUAAAUUACGCCCCUCGAAAUCGAAAUAAGGGCAACGUUAUAUAUAAUGGAUCGCCUACACCCUGGCCAAUUCCCAUUGGACCGAGGCGACAAUUACGUAUUUUAUACCGGCGAAUACGUCGGCCAUAAUAUUAUAAUCGCAAUUUUUCUUACCGGGUAAAAAUACGGGAUAAAUUCGGUUGCGGCGCUAGUAAACCAAAUUAAAAAAUUCUUUCCUAAUUUAUAAUUUGGGCUGUUCGUCGGCGUCGCCGCCGGUCUCCCGAACCUGUUCCGCGACCCGCCACGUAAUAUUAAAUUAAAAGACGUAUUGGUAAUUCUGCCGGAUAAUAAUAAUGCAGGCCUGGUCGCGUAUAAUUUCGGCAAGGAAAUUGCAAAAUUUGGGUUCCAACCGUUACGCCACGGUUAAAUAUUGGCCAUUACCGAAACGGUAAUCCGGUCGGUUAUCGGUAAUAUUAAAUUUAGCGCGCCCAAUAACGCCAAAUAUUAUUUGGAAUUUUAUAUAACGAUUGAAAACAAAAAACACGAAACGGGCACGUUUAAAAACCCAGGUUAAAAUUACGAUAAAUUAUAUACGAUUGGAAAGAACGGAGGGGAGACGGUUGUGGACCGAAUAUUGCGGCCCAUUUUCCAACGUAUCCGAAUAUAAUACGGGCGCAUUAGUUUUGGCGAAAAACUGGUAAAAAACGCCCGCAAAAGGGACCAAUUGCGAAACGAAUAUAAUUUUAUCGGUUUCGAGAUGGAGGCGGCCGGCACGAUAAAUCGUAUCCCCGUGGGUGUAAUCCGCGGCGUGUGUAAUUAUAGGGAUUUAUAUAAAAAUAAAAGGUGGUAGCCCUACGCGGCGGCGAUGGCGGUUAUAUAUACCAAAACUGUUUUGGCAGCUAUUCCGGCAAAGGCGAAUUUUGCAAAUAUCCCAACUGCGUUAUCCCCCGUUGCAAACCCCCCUUAUUUUAUAUUUUAUGGGCCUAUUAUUGGGCAAAAAAUUAUUGCAGAAAUAUCGAUACAAAAGACAAAUACUAUUAAUUUUUUUUAAAUUAAUAAUUAUACAGGCCGUUAAUUUUAAUGCGGGCCAUUUCGGGAUAAAAUAAUUAACCUGGGGUUUUAUUUUUUUUUUAAUAUUUUUUACACGUAAUUACAGCCAAAACGCUUUCCGUUUCAAUUUGGCGGGAGGUAUAAAAGUUUUAAUAAUUAUUUACCGCGUUAAAAUUAAAAUUAAACGUAAUACCAAUAAUUGCAAAUGGAAUUUGUUAUAUUAAAAAAAACACCGUUAAAAAAAAAAAUUCCCGUUAAUAAUUAAUACCAAUAAUUUCGGUAAAUAUAACCUGCAACAAAACCUAAUGGUUAAUAUUACCAGGUUUGGCAAUUACGUAUUUUUUAUAACUUUUAACAUAAUAAUUAUACCGCCAAAUUUUCCCCCCGGUUUAAUUAUUCCGACAAAAAUAAAACAAUCCAUCGAGUUUUCCAAUUUGCAAAUUGGCCCUAUUUUAGGUUUGGAAUUUUACCUCCAUAAUUUCGUUGGGGAUCCAAACAAUCGCCCAAUUGGAAUUACCAUUAUUAUCGAACAGCUGGGGACAAAUUCCAUGGGCCUACCAUUAAAAUUUCCAGGGAACCGAUUCCGAUAAUUUUAUAUACCCGUAAAUAAUAUAUCUUGGAUCGAGGUAGGAUUUUAACGCCAUUAAAAAAAAGCCCCGACCUUUAUACGGCAAAAAUAAAAUUAUUAUAACGUGGAUAUAUAAUACCCCGGACAAAAUAAUACCCCGGACAUUUUUCCAACGUGGACGAUUUUUUAAUUGCAAUGGCGUGUUUUUCCUAUAUUAAUAAUAAAAUCGUCGAAUCGCGAAACGCAAAUUAUUUUUGCGUUAAAUAAAUUCCGAUCGAAUAAAAAAUUAAACGUUAAAAAAAUUGCAACUAUUUUUAAUAUGCCGAAAUUAAUAUUAUACGAUAAAAUAAAUGGCGCGACUUUUUUAUUUAACCGUCGCCCCAAUAUGCAAAAAUUAACGGAAAACGAAAAAAAGGUAAUUGUCCAAUAUAUAUUGGAUUUAAAUUCCCGAGGGUUUCCGCCCCAGAUCGCUAAUAUUGCUGCUAUGGCCGACAAUAUUUUCGCCGCGCGGGACGCGUUACCGGCCGGAAUUCGCUGGGCAAAUCGUUUUGUUAAACGACGUACAAAAUUAAAAACGCGUUUUUUUCGCGCCUAUAAUUUUUAAAGGGCUUUUUGCGAAAAUUUUAACGCGUUAAACGCGUGGUUUCGUUUGGUGGCGAAUAUAAAGGCCAAAUACGGUAUCCAGGAUUGCGAUAUUUACAAUUUCGACGAAACCCGUUUUAUAAUAGGUUAAAUUUGCGGCCAUAUAAUUAUAACCGGGUCCGAAAAACGCGGAAAAAGCAAAAAAUUACAACCUAGUAAUCGAAAAUGGGCGAUUGCAAUUUGCUGCAUUAAUAGCGACGGUUAUAAUAUUCCCCCAUAUAUUAUUGUUAAAAACGUCCACCAUUUCGCAAAUUGGUAUAUAAAAGGCGAUUUCCCCGCAUUUUGGCGUAUAAAACCUACCCCCAACGGAUGGACAAAUAACGAAACAGGCCUGGAUUGGGUUUAGCAUUUCGAAAAAUAUACAAAAUUGCGGACAAAAGGCGUAUAUUGGAUAUUAAUAUUCGACGGGUACGGCAGUCACCAAUCCCCUAAAUUUGAAAAUUAUUGUAAAAAUUACAAUAUUAUUCCGUUUUGCCUGCCUGCUUAUUUAUCUCAUUUUACCCAACCAUUUAAUAUUGGAGUAUUUAAUAUUUUAAAACGGUCGUACGGUUAAGAAAUUAACGAUUUUAUCCGGGCCCACAUUAUUAAUAUUAGCAAAAUCGACUUCUUUUUAAUUUUGCAACGGUUUACAAAAAAUUUAUAAUAAAAGAAAAUAUAGCUGGGGGCUUUUGAGAAAUUGGGAUUAUUACUUAUAACCCGGAACCGGUUAUAUUUAAAUUGGAUGUUAAAUUACGGACGUUUUUACCCAAAAAACCUAUUUUUCCCAUUACCGAAUCUUGGGUUUUUCAAACGCCGCAUAACCCGACAAAAAUUAUUUGUUAAUUAACGCUUAUUAAAAAUCGAAUUGGCCGUCACCAAAAUAGCUUUCCUACACCAAUUUUUGAAAUUGUAAAACAAUUGGCAAAAAUAUUAAAGUUAAUUAUUUAUCGAAUUACAUUUUUUAAAGCAGAAAACCACAAUUUUCGGAAGGUUAACAAAACGUUUAACAAACGACGCAAGGCCAAAAAAAUACAUGUCCGCGAAGGAGGAUUAUUUACGGUACAAAAAAUUCAAAAUUUGUUACAAUUGAAAAACAAUAAUGGUUCGAUACAGGAGCAAAAAGGUUAAAAUAGGAAGGAAAUAAUGCGCAAUAUACCACCAAACGGCGCUGUAGCAAUUGCGGUAACACCGGAUAUAAUUCGCGCACCUGUUAGGAAAAUGAAAAAAUAUUUAAUAUAUAUAAUUCCGAUUGCAUUAAAAUUAAAUAAA
rnacentral:sRNA from 1 species